CUCCGCCUCCGCCUCCGCCUCCGCCUCCGCCGCCGCCCCUCUCACACAAUUCUCCAUUAUCUAUAGCAAUUCUAGUCCUCUGUAUGGUCUCUACUUCUUUGUUGACACCAUACCUUCCCACCAUUAGGCACCAUACCUAUGGCUGGGAGCUCGCCUCACCAUCUGACCUCCUCCUACCGCUCAUUCUCAAUUUGUUGCCAACUGAAAGCCUUGAUCCAUUCCUCCUAGUUUUAGCUUUUAGAUCGCAAGAAGCUACGACAGAAGCCACCAGAUCUAGAUAGAUCAAAAUACCCUCAACACACGCCACUUCUCGCCAUCGCUGCUCUUCAGAUCUAUGGCGGGCCUCGAUGGAUGCCCAUGGUGUAGAUCUCGCGGCAAAGAUGGAUCACGACGCUCGACUGGAUUUCCCCCAAUCCGAGAGAGAAGGCACGACAUAUAAGGAGGUGAUUUCAGGCUACCAGAUCUGUAGAUGACAACACCCUCGGCUCUCAUUGCUAUGCACAUGUCUAAGUUAUUGUACAAUCAUUGCUCACUAGAGCUACGGUGGGCCUUAAGUAAAUCUCCAUAGCAUAAAGCUAAUGACAAAAAUGGAUCAUGACGCCCAAUUAGAUUGACUCAAUACUGGAAGGUCAAGCAUGACACAUGAGGAGCAAUCGGGGCUAGAGCACCUUCAUCCAUUUUAUGCAACCGUGAUUCCAGGAUGAGUUAUGGCUUGUCCUUUUUGCCGUAUGCCUGGUGGCCCGUGUUCUUCUGUUGAUUCUUCUGUAGAUGGGUUCAGUGUGGUCCUGGAUCGGCGUUGUUGGAGGCGUGUUUAUGUUCCGUGCAGUGUUAGAGUUCAUCUUGCUCGUUACAUCGAGGAGUGUAGGGCUUUAGCCAUAAGGAGGGGUGACGAAGAUACUGAUCUUGCUUUUCAGUGCAAUGAGGGUUAUUUGUAUGGUGUCCUAUUUAGUCAUGGUCGGUUGAGGAGCAAAUUCCAUGGUCCUUCCUGGGAACGAUUGGUCAGUGAUUAUGGUGUUCGUCCUCGUGAUAUAAUGACCAUUAGGCUUGAACAUUAUGGAACAUGGAUUGGUAUUGAUUUUUAUCGUGU